ACCUUUGUGGUGUAGUAGUCAGAACUCUCGGCGCGUAUUCGAGAGGUCCGCGGUUCGAGUCCCGGCGAGGGCA
rnacentral:tRNA from 1 species